UACGUAGGGUGCGAGCGUUGUCCGGAAUUAUUGGGCGUAAAGAGCUCGUAGGCGGUUUGUUGCGUCGGCCGUGAAAACCUGCAGCUUAACUGUGGGCCUGCGGCCGAUACGGGCAGACUUGAGUUCGGUAGGGGAGACUGGAAUUCCUGGUGUAGCGGUGAAAUGCGUAGAUAUCGGGAGGAACAUCAGUGGCGAAGGCGGCCCUCUGGUCCAGUACUGGACACUCAAGUGCGAAAAGCGUGGGGAGCAAACAGGG
rnacentral:rRNA from 1 species